rnacentral:rRNA from 1 species
AUGGAGCCCUUGUCGGGCGCCGCCGCCGCCGCCGCGGCUGCUGGUGGCGGUGGAGCAUCAAGGCCGCCGAGCUUCGCUUCGCAGACCAAUGCCCUCCUGCGCAAGAAUCUCAUCUUCCAGAAACGCAACAGGAAGGCAACCAUUCGGCUAAUCAUAGUUCCGAUAUACCUAUGUGUAUUACUCAGUGUCCUUCAACGAGUCAUCAACAAUUUAUUGGAUAAACCAAAAUACAAGUGUGGGUGCAUGUGUGUUGAUGUGAAUGGCACUGGUCCUUGUCAAAAUGUGUGUGGCAUUCAGUACUCUACAUUGGACCAGGCUGGCAGUUGCCCUAUACCAAAUCCUCCUGAAUGGCCUGCUCUCUUGCAAGUACCCCGCCCCGAGUAUCGUGCCAUCCAGGAUUCCUCUGAAUCAUGCAGAAAGUCACAAUCCUGCCCGGCCGCCAUACCGUUCACGGGGGCAAAUGAAACUCUAUCUACUACUGUCAUGCAGAACAUGUUCACAGACUUGCCACUUUUAAAUAUUUCUGAUAAUGCGAGCAUAUCUGGUCUUCUCCUGGGGACAGAUAUGCCAGGUACUUCUACAGGCUUCAUCGAACCUGCUUUUAUCUCGGAUCUACCCAUUUAUGUUCUUCAGUCGGAAUGCAAGUCCAGGGAUUCAGUUACACUCCGCACUACCAUUGAUGCUAUUAAUGUUCAGAAAGAAAUAAAAUGUGUUCAAGGUCUACCUUUGUGGCGGAAUAGUUCAAGAACAAUCAAUGAGGAGACCUUUAAGGGUUACCGGAAAGGAAAAAUAGGGAAAGGAAUUAGUGAAGUUGCAAUGGCUUAUGAUUUCCAAGACUCAAACGAGAAGCGUUUCAAUGUGCUUGCAUUGUAUAACUCGACUUAUCAGAAUAUCUCUUAUGUUCCAAUGCCAUUCGGACUUCUGCGUGUUUCACGUUCACUGAAUGCGGUUUCAAAUGCCUAUCUCCAAUUCCUACAAGGUCAAGGUUCAGGCAUAAAAAUGUUGCUUGAGUUUACAAAAGAAAUGCCAAAGCAAGCGACUCGUCUGACAAUUGAUUUUUCUUCUCUUAUUGGUCCUCUCUUUUUCGAAUGGGUUGUUGCGUUGCUUUUCCCGGUUAUGUUGACAUACCUUGUAUAUGAGAAACAACAUAAGCUCCGAACAAUGAUGAAAAUGCACGGGCUUGGAAAUGGCCCUUACUGGAUUAUCUACUACGCAUACUUCCUUAUCUUGUCUACGGUGUAUCUUGUGCUAUUUGUCAUUUUUGGAGCCCUUAUAGGUCUAAAUUUUUUUAAGACGAAUGACUACGGUAUCCAGUUUGUUUUCUUCUUCAGUUUCAUUAACUUGCAGAUUGUAUUAUCUUUCCUAGCUGCAACAUUCUUUUCGAAGGUUAAUACUGCUCAAGCAAUUGCAUAUCUGUACAUAUUUGGAUCAGGGUUAAUGGCAGGAUCUCUUAUUCGGAAUUUUCUUGAAGGUGGAAAAUUUCCAAGACACUGGAUUACAGUUCUGGAGAUAAUACCUGCAUUUUCUUUAUAUAGAGGAUUAUAUGAGCUUAGCCAAUAUGCUAUUAGGGCUUCAGAGACGGGAAAUCCUGGCAUACAAUGGAGUGAUCUAAAUGACCAUACAAAUGGAAUGAGGGAUGUGAUGAUCAUUAUUAUUGUUGAGUGGUUGGUUUUGCUUCCUGUUGCAUAUUAUUUUGACUAUGCUGCUUCAGUUGGAAACAGCUCUGGCCUCCUUUCCAUCAUCAAACGUCUCCUAAGAAAGAACCCCACUUGGAGAAGGAUAGCUGUUAACGAAGUUGCCGACAAUGAUGUUCAUGUGGAAAUGGAGAAGUUAGACAUUAUUAAAGAAAGGGAGACUGUUGAUCAAGUACUACAGCAGCGGAACAGUGGCUACGCUGUUGUCUGUGACGAUCUCAAGAAAGUAUAUCAUGGAAAGGAUGGUAACCCUGAUAAGUAUGCUGUUCGAGGUCUAUCACUUGCUUUGCCGUACGGAGAGUGUUUGGGCAUUCUUGGUCCUAAUGGAGCUGGCAAGAGCUCUUUUAUUAGCAUGAUGAUUGGGUUUUCAAAGCCAACAUCGGGGAAUGCAUUUGUACAGGAUUUCAGCAUACAUACUGACAUGGAAAACAUAUACAACAGCAUGGGGGUUUGCCCGCAGAAUGAUAUGCUUUGGGAGAUGCUGACUGGCAGAGAACAUCUCCAGUUUUAUGGUCGACUGAAGAGCCUCAGUGGCUCUGCUUUGGACCUUGCCGUUGAAGAAUCUUUAAGAAGUGUAAAUUUACUCCUUGGUGGUGCUGCUGACAAGCAAGUCAGGAAGUACAGCGGUGGCAUGAAGAGGCGUCUUAGCAUCGCCAUCUCGCUGAUUGGAGAUGCAAAAGUAGUGUACAUGGACGAGCCCAGCACUGGAUUGGAUCCAGCUUCGAGGAAGAGUCUCUGGACUGCUGUGAAGCAAGCAAAGCAAGAUAGAGCUAUCAUUCUUACGACCCAUUCCAUGGAAGAAGCCGAAGUUCUCUGCGAUCGGUUGUGUAUCAUGGUAGAUGGCAGGCUCCAGUGCAUAGGAAGGCCUAAAGAGCUCAUAGCUAGAUAUGGAGGCUAUUAUGUGCUGACGAUGACGACAUCGUCGGAGUUCGAGCGCGAGGUAGAGGAUUUGGCUCUGAAGCUCUUGCCGAACGCGAGGAAGGUGUAUCAUCUGUCAGGAACACAGAAAUACGAGCUGUCGAAGCAACAAGUCAGGAUUGCGGAUGUUUUCAUGGCCGUGGAGAAUCUGAAGAGGAGGGUGGAAGUGCAAGCAUGGGGCCUCGCGGACACCACCAUGGAGGACGUGUUCGUCAAGGUCGCCACAGGGGCGCAGUCAAGUGACGAACUCUCUUAG